ACCGGGAGCAGCGGCGUGCUCCUGUAAACCGGCGACCCGGUGGUCGGACUGCGUAGAUCGGUUUUGGUGGGGGAAUGAUCGGCUGUGUUCAGACAAUCGAUUGCACGACAAGGGAGAACCAUCAGCUUCUGUGCAAUCCGU